GAUCAUGGCUCAGGAUGAACGCUAGCUACAGGCUUAACACAUGCAAGUCGAGGGCAGCAUGGUCUUAGCUUGCUAAGGCCGAUUGGCGACCGGCGCACGGGUGAGUAACACGUAUCCAACCUGCCGUCUACUCUUGGACAGCCUUCUGAAAGGAAGAUUAAUACAAGAUGGCAUCAUGAGUCCGCAUGUUCACAUGAUUAAAGGUAUUCUGGUAGACGAUGGGG
rnacentral:rRNA from 1 species